GGUCAAGCGAACAAGUGCAUGUGGUGGAUGCCUUGGCGAUCACAGGCGAUGAAGGACGCGGUAGCCUGCGAAAAGCUACGGGGAGCUGGCAAACGAGCUUUGAUCCGUAGAUGUCCGAAUGGGGAAACCCACUCCUUUUGGAGUAUCCAUGGCUGAAUACAUAGGCCAUGUGAAGCGAACGCGGUGAACUGAAACAUCUAAGUAACCGCAGGAAAAGAAAUCAACCGAGAUUCCCAAAGUAGUGGCGAGCGAAAUGGGAUGAGCCUUGCACUCUUUAUUUGUAUUGUUAGCCGAACGCUCUGGAAAGUGCGGCCAUAGCAGGUGAUAGCCCUGUAGGCGAAAACAGUAUGAAAGAACUAGGUGUGCGACAAGUAGGGCGGGACACGUGAAAUCCUGUCUGAAGAUGGGGGGACCAUCCUCCAAGGCUAAAUACUCGUGAUCGACCGAUAGUGAACCAGUACCGUGAGGGAAAGGCGAAAAGAACCCCGGGAGGGGAGUGAAAUAGAUCCUGAAACCGCAUGCAUACAAACAGUCGGAGCCUCGUAAGGGGUGACGGCGUACCUUUUGUAUAAUGGGUCAGCGACUUACGUUCAGUAGCAAGCUUAACCGUAUAGGGCAGGCGUAGCGAAAGCGAGUCCGAAUAGGGCGUUCAGUUGCUGGGCGUAGACCCGAAACCAAGUGAUCUAUCCAUGGCCAGGAUGAAGGUGCGGUAACACGUACUGGAGGUCCGAACCCACUAACGUUGAAAAGUUAGGGGAUGAGCUGUGGAUAGGGGUGAAAGGCUAAACAAACUUGGAAAUAGCUGGUUCUCUCCGAAAACUAUUUAGGUAGUGCCUCGUGUCUCACCUUCGGGGGUAGAGCACUGUCAUGGUUGGGGGGUCUAUUGCAGAUUACCCCGCCAUAGCAAACUCCGAAUACCGAAGAGUGCAAUCACGGGAGACAGACAUCGGGUGCUAACGUCCGGUGUCAAGAGGGAAACAACCCAGACCGCCAGCUAAGGUCCCCAAAUAUAGCUAAGUGGGAAACGAAGUGGGAAGGCUAAAACAGUCAGGAGGUUGGCUUAGAAGCAGCCACCCUUUAAAGAAAGCGUAAUAGCUCACUGAUCGAGUCGUCCUGCGCGGAAGAUGUAACGGGGCUAAGCUAUAUACCGAAGCUGCGGAUGCGAGCUUUGCUCGCAUGGUAGGAGAGCGUUCCGUAAGCCUGCGAAGGUGCGUUGAAAAGCGUGCUGGAGGUAUCGGAAGUGCGAAUGCUGACAUGAGUAGCGAUAAAGGGGGUGAAAGGCCCCCUCGCCGUAAGCCCAAGGUUUCCUACGCAACGUUCAUCGGCGUAGGGUGAGUCGGCCCCUAAGGCGAGGCAGAAAUGCGUAGCUGAUGGGAAGCAGGUCAAUAUUCCUGCACCAUUGUUAGAUGCGAUGGGGGGACGGAUCGCGGAAGGUUGUCCGGGUGUUGGAAGUCCCGGUCGCUGCAUUGGAGAAGGCGCUUAGGCAAAUCCGGGCGCGCAAUUCAAGGGUGUGGCGCGAGCUCCUUAGGGAGCGAAGCAAUUGGAAGUGGUUCCAAGAAAAGCCUCUAAGCUUCAGUCUAACGAUGACCGUACCGCAAACCGACACAGGUGGGCGAGAUGAGUAUUCUAAGGCGCUUGAGAGAACUCGGGAGAAGGAACUCGGCAAAUUGGUACCGUAACUUCGGGAUAAGGUACGCCCUUGUAGCUUGACUGGCCUGCGCCAGGAGGGUGAAGGGGUUGCAAUAAACUGGUGGCUGCGACUGUUUAAUAAAAACACAGCACUCUGCAAACACGAAAGUGGACGUAUAGGGUGUGACGCCUGCCCGGUGCCGGAAGAUUAAAUGAUGGGGUGCAAGCUCUUGAUUGAAGUCCCGGUAAACGGCGGCCGUAACUAUAACGGUCCUAAGGUAGCGAAAUUCCUUGUCGGGUAAGUUCCGACCUGCACGAAUGGCGUAACGAUGGCCACACUGUCUCCUCCCGAGACUCAGCGAAGUUGAAGUGUUUGUGAUGAUGCAAUCUACCCGCGGCUAGACGGAAAGACCCCAUGAACCUUUACUGUAGCUUUGCAUUGGACUUUGAACCGAUCUGUGUAGGAUAGGUGGGAGGCUAUGAAACCGGAACGCUAGUUUCGGUGGAGCCGUCCUUGAAAUACCACCCUGGUUUGUUUGAGGUUCUAACCUUGGCCCGUGAUCCGGGUCGGGGACAGUGCAUGGUAGGCAGUUUGACUGGGGCGGUCUCCUCCCAAAGCGUAACGGAGGAGUACGAAGGUACGCUAGGUACGGUCGGAAAUCGUGCUGAUAGUGCAAUGGCAUAAGCGUGCUUAACUGCGAGACCGACAAGUCGAGCAGGUGCGAAAGCAGGUCAUAGUGAUCCGGUGGUUCUGUAUGGAAGGGCCAUCGCUCAACGGAUAAAAGGUACUCUGGGGAUAACAGGCUGAUACCGCCCAAGAGUUCAUAUCGACGGCGGUGUUUGGCACCUCGAUGUCGGCUCAUCUCAUCCUGGGGCUGUAGCCGGUCCCAAGGGUAUGGCUGUUCGCCAUUUAAAGAGGUACGUGAGCUGGGUUUAAAACGUCGUGAGACAGUUUGGUCCCUAUCUGCCGUGGGCGUUGGAUAUUUGAAGGGGGCUGCUCCUAGUACGAGAGGACCGGAGUGGACGAACCUCUGGUGUACCGGUUGUCACGCCAGUGGCAUCGCCGGGUAGCUAUGUUCGGAAGAGAUAACCGCUGAAAGCAUCUAAGCGGGAAACUCGCCUUAAGAUGAGAUAUCCCUGGGGACUAGAUCCCCUUGAAGGGUCGUUCGAGACCAGGACGUUGAUAGGUCAGGUGUGUAAGCGCAGUAAUGCGUUCAGCUAACUGAUACUAAUUGCCCGUAAGGCUUGAUCCU
rnacentral:rRNA from 1 species